UACGUAGGGUGCGAGCGUUAAUCGGAAUUACUGGGCGUAAAGCGUGCGCAGGCGGUUUUGUAAGCCAGAUGUGAAAGCCCCGGGCUUAACCUGGGAAUGGCAUUUGGGACUGCAAGGCUGGAGUGUGGCAGAGGAGACUGGAAUUCCUGGUGUAGCAGUGAAAUGCGUAGAUAUCAGGAGGAACACCGGUGGCGAAGGCGGAUCUCUGGGCCUUACCUGACGCUGAGGCGCGAAAGCUAGGGGAGCAAACAGG
rnacentral:rRNA from 1 species